rnacentral:rRNA from 1 species
GCUGGCGGCAGGCCUAACACAUGCAAGUCGAGCGGUAGAGAGAAGCUUGCUUCUCUUGAGAGCGGCGGACGGGUGAGUAAUACCUAGGAAUCUGCCUGAUAGUGGGGGAUAACGUUCGGAAACGGACGCUAAUACCGCAUACGUCCUACGGGAGAAAGCAGGGGACCUUCGGGCCUUGCGCUAUCAGAUGAGCCUAGGUCGGAUUAGCUAGUUGGUGAGGUAAUGGCUCACCAAGGCUACGAUCCGUAACUGGUCUGAGAGGAUGAUCAGUCACACUGGAACUGAGACACGGUCCAGACUCCUACGGGAGGCAGCAGUGGGGAAUAUUGGACAAUGGGCGAAAGCCUGAUCCAGCCAUGCCGCGUGUGUGAAGAAGGUCUUCGGAUUGUAAAGCACUUUAAGUUGGGAGGAAGGGCAGUUACCUAAUACGUGACUGUCUUGACGUUACCGACAGAAUAAGCACCGGCUAACUCUGUGCCAGCAGCCGCGGUAAUACAGAGGGUGCAAGCGUUAAUCGGAAUUACUGGGCGUAAAGCGCGCGUAGGUGGUUUGUUAAGUUGAAUGUGAAAUCCCCGGGCUCAACCUGGGAACUGCAUCCAAAACUGGCAAGCUAGAGUAUGGUAGAGGGUAGUGGAAUUUCCUGUGUAGCGGUGAAAUGCGUAGAUAUAGGAAGGAACACCUGUGGCGAAGGCGACUACCUGGACUGAUACUGACACUGAGGUGCGAAAGC